rnacentral:rRNA from 1 species
GAUGAACGCUGGCGGCGUGCCUAAUACAUGCAAGUCGAACGAGGUGCUUUGUAGCAAUACGAGAGUAUCCUAGUGGCGAACGGGUGAGUAACGCGUUGGUGACCUACUCCAAAGUGUGGGAUAACAGUCCGAAAGGAUUGCUAAUACCGCAUGUGGUCAUUGGAUUUAGAAACUGAUGACUAAAGGAGCAAUUCGCUUUGGGAGGGACCUGCGUCCCAUCAGCUAGUUGGUGAGGUAAUGGCUCACCAAGGCGACGACGGGUAGGGGACCUGAGAGGGUGACCCCCCACAAUGGAACUAAAACACGGUCCAUACACCUACGGGUGGCAGCAGUAGGGAAGAUUGCUCAAUGGGCGAAAGCCGGAAGCAGCAACGCCGCGUGUGUGAUGAAGGCCUUCGGGUCGUAAAGCACUUUUCUGGGAGAUGAGAAAGGACAGUAUCCCAGGAAUAAGUCUCGGCUAACUACGUGCCAGCAGCCGCGGUAAAAC